rnacentral:lncRNA from 1 species
UAGAUGAAAACUACACUUCUAAGCUCACAACACACACACACACACUCUCACACACACACACACACACACACACACACUCUCUCUCCUGUCUCACACACACACACACACUCUCUCUCCUGUCUCACACACACUCUGUUGACCUGCUGGUGUCGCUCUCUCAGGUAUGAGGAGGUAGAAGUGCGGAAAAAGCUGGAAGAGAAAGAGAGAAAGGAGGAAAAGAGUCGACGAGAAGACAGAAGUGAAAAAGAUGGCCGUGCUUCACCUCGAGGAGCCUCACAGAAGAAGGACAGUAAGAAGGUGCUGGCUUCAUCAUUUGAUCGGAUAAACUUCAGUGUAUCAUUAAACACACACUCCACUUCCUGAACCGUGCUGCUCUGACGUGAUACUGUGGGAAAGGAAGCAUCAGUUCAGAUUACACAAACAAACGAGUUCGUUAGGAGAGCGUUAUCAUUACUGUAAAUCAGACAAUAUAAGAAAAAGAGACUUAUCGCCCUCGGCUGAAUCAGCCAUCAAUAACUGGAAAAUUUCUUUAAAAAUGUUGAAAUGAUUGAGCUGCACAAGUGUCUGUAUGGUAAAAAUGAACCGUGUGGCAUUGUGACCCAGUGUCAGUGUGGCUUCAUGAGUCUGUGCAAACUUACUCUGAGCUUCUGUGAUCAUGUGACGAGUUUAUUUCGCCUGCUGUAGCUAAAGAAAGGAACAAUAUGAAUAUACCAUAGCAAGAUAUUAAAAUAAAUAAAAAUGAUCCUUAUUUUAGUAGUUCAACUCGCAGUUGGCACUCGAACAGUUCGGUGUGCGUGUGUGUGUGUGUGUGUGUGUGUGUGUGUGUGUGUGUGUUACAGCAGGUUAAAGAGGAGCCCAGUAACAGUAAGACCGGAGCUGAUAAAGGUACCGUGUGUCCUGACGGAGGUCAUGCGUCUCUCUGUGUGUCUGUUGUUCUGUGACGUGUGUUUUCUGUCCCGUCAGGAAGCAUCAGCGCCAAGGAUCUGUUCCAGCUGAUGAAGGAUCCCAGUAUAAGUGUGCUGGUGAUGGACGCGCGGAGCAGACAGGACUUCCAGGAGUCUCAGAUCUGUGUCCCGUCUCAGACCUGCAUCAGUGUUCCUGAGGAGGCCAUCAGUCCGGGGUCAGACACACACACACAUAUAUAUAUAUACACACACACACACACACACACAUAUAUACAGAGACACAUACACACACACACACACACACACACACACUACACGAGACUCUUACUGUCAUGAGUUGACUGUCUUCUCACUCUUUUCUCUGUCUUCAGUCCAUGUGGAUCGAGCGAACCACAUUCAUAACUGCUUACAAACUACCAGGAAUCCUGCGCUGGUUUGAGGCCACAAGCAUGACCCACGUGAGUCUCUGUUCCUGUCCAUCACAAUGAAAUUCUUCAGAACACUAGUGUACUGCAUCCUGUGCAGUGUAUACUGGAUAGGGCCUUUUCAUCAGUAUGUAGUAUACGCAACAGUAAACAUAAAACAGUAGGAUGUGUCAUUGUCACAUGACCUCAUGUAUAUGUAUACAAUUAUGGUAAUGCAUCGGUAUUCAGUUUUAUGUCAGAAAUAAAUUAAUAUUUUGCAUUUUUAAUGUAAUUUUGAUGUAUUAACCUUUCUCUGUGGCCAAAUUCAGAAAAACAUACAGUGAUCUAUUUUGUAUUUAUUCAUUUCACAAAAUUAUUAAUCUUUUUUUUUAGAUAAUAAGGUGUUAUUUAUUGCUGUCUUUUAAAAACAGAAAUGACACAGUAACCAAUAAUACAGCACAAAAUAAUAAUAAUAAAGACAAACAAAAGUUGGCUCUGUAAAAAUCCAUGUCAGUACUUCCCUGAUUAAAUCACUAAUGAAAGUAGAUCACAGAAGUAUGUAGUGUUUUCAGCUGAGCUGAGGCAGAGAACUGGAAACAUGGUGAAGAAAAAAAAUCUUGUUGGUUUAUGACUUAUAAAUAAUAUUAUAAAAGGGAUAAUAAAUAAUGUUAAUGAACUGAAGCAUUAUUAAUAUAAGAUUACUAACAUUAUCCCAUGGGAAAAAAUUAAUAAUGAGGGAAAUAAACUAAACUAUUAUUGUAAUCAAUUGCCAUCCAUAUGUAUCCAUUUUAAUAAUCUUUAUAAUAAUUCAUAUGAUUUUAUUUUACAUGUGGCCUGAGAAGAUCAUGUCUAUAUUUUGGUUUGUGAGAUCGCGCUGCGCACACAAACUUGUGAACGCUUCCCCUCGACUCUUCUCAAUAAAAGAGCUUAGAUACUGAAUUGCUAGAUUAACGAGGGGGUAAAAUCACUGUUUGAGGAACUAAACACACGUUUGUAGAGAGACGAUCCGAGACGCUGCUGCUGCUGUGGUUUCAGUGAACUUCUCGUACCCGUCUCUGGAGGAGCCCGAACCCGUGAGUGUGUGUGAGGAGCCCGCAGACGUGCAGCUGAACGGCAGAACCGUGGACCCCGAGCCGCCCGCAGAGCCGCCCGCAUACACACCUGCACAACAACCCGUGAAGACAGACGCCGCAGCGCCCCAACACACUCCACAGGUGAGCUACACCUGGAGCAGGGCCUCAUCACACACACAUGCAC